UACGUAGGGUGCGAGCGUUUGUCCGGAAUUAUUGGGCGUAAAGAGCUUGUAGGCGGUUUGUCGCGUCUGCCGUGAAAAUUCGAGGCUCAACCUCGAACUUGCGGUGGGUACGGGCAGACUAGAGUGUGGUAGGGGAGACUGGAAUUCCUGGUGUAGCGGUGAAAUGCGCAGAUAUCAGGAGGAACACCGAUGGCGAAGGCAGGUCUCUGGGCCACUGACUGACGUGAGAAGCGAAAGCAUGGGGAGCGAACAGG
rnacentral:rRNA from 1 species